AGAGUUAUCACGAAACACCUUCCUUCCACGUCACGCCAGCUCUGGUCCCGCGCAAUCCAACCAUAGCGCCACCUACACAUCAUGUGACAUCAUUGGGCUGCUUUACAAAAGGACGAAUGCAGCUGCACAAUUUCAGUGGGCACGGUGGACCAACUGCGGGCAUGUGGCCUCACAAGCCUAUCCUCUACUUCAUGCAGGUUCUCGUUCUUGGUUUGACCGGAGCGACCAUAUCAGCGAAACAGUAUUCUACCGGAUGUUCAAGCUGCCAAAAUGUGCCUGUUCCUUCCACAUGUUUUCUUAACACGUCAGCAACGAUGGAGAGUUAUCACGAAACACCUUCCUUCCACGUCACGCCAGCUCUGGUCCCGCGCAAUCCAACCAUAGCGCCACCUACACAUCAUGGGACAUCAGUGGGCUGCUUUACAAAAGGACGAAUGCAGCUGCACAAUUUCAGUGGGCACGGCGGACAAACUGCGGGCAUGUGGCCUCACAAGCCUUUCCUCUGCUUCAUGCAGUUCUUCCGGUUCUGGUGCCUGCAGCUCAUGGAUCCUCUUCCCCUGCACGUCAGUUGCCCCGCCACUGCAGGCCGGCUUGUUCACCCCGUCAGUCUUCACCCUCUUGGCCGCCUUCUAAAUCAAGCGACCUGCACCUACAGCCGAUUUCGGAUUGAUCGCGCGCCCUGGCCACCACAGCCUCUGCAUCAGCGCAUGCCUUCAGCCAUUUUUGUCAUCGUGGAAUGGCCCGAAUUCUGGGACCGCGCAAUCGCCUGUUUGGCAUCACCUUAGAAAGCCGGAUCGGAGCAGCGCAGCCUUCAGGGGGUUAGAAGCACGACCAAGAGGGGCAGUGUUCGCCGUAUCGUUUUCGUGCAGGAAGAAACGGUGCCGGGAUAGAAGCGAUGCCAUCGACGCCUAUCAACUUCGUCCGGAUAACACUGGUGGCCAAAUGACACCAUGGUUAUUUCCUGGAGACCUGGCUCCACUAGCGACACCACCUGGUAGUCGCGGUGUGACGUCACCUGAGAACACCACUAUAAAAGAAGCACCUCAUCCCGGCCACGGCGGCCGCAUUUCGAUGGGGGCGAGAUGCGAAAACACCCGUGUGCUUAGAUUUAGGUGCACGUUAAAGAACCCCAGGUGGUCAAAAUUUCCGGAGUCCUCCACUACGGCGUGCCUCAUAAUCAGAAAGUGGUUUUGGCACGUAAAACCCC